rnacentral:rRNA from 1 species
AACGAACGCUGGCGGCAGGCCUAACACAUGCAAGUCGAGCGCGCCCUUCGGGGUGAGCGGCGGACGGGUGAGUAACGCGUGGGAACGUGCCCUUCUCUGCGGAAUAGCCUCGGGAAACUGAGAGUAAUACCGCAUACGCCCUUUGGGGGAAAGAUUUAUCGGAGAAGGAUCGGCCCGCGUUGGAUUAGGUAGUUGGUGGGGUAAUGGCCCACCAAGCCGACGAUCCAUAGCUGGUGUGAGAGGAUGAUCAGCCACACUGGGACUGAGACACGGCCCAGACUCCUACGGGAGGCAGCAGUGGGGAAUCUUAGACAAUGGGGGCAACCCUGAUCUAGCCAUGCCGCGUGAGUGAUGAAGGCCUUAGGGUUGUAAAGCUCUUUCAGCUGGGAAGAUAAUGACGGUACCAGCAGAAGAAGCCCCGGCUAACUCCGUG